GCAAACUUGGUCAUUUAGAGGAAGUAAAAGUCGUAACAAGGUCUCCGUAGGUGAACCUGCGGAGGGAUCAUUACCAAAGAUGGUGGGCCUCCCGUGCCCCCGUCCCCAACCCAUUGUUGACUUAAAAAACCCUUUUGCCUCGGGGGCAGAGCGUCCGCCGCCGCCCCCGGAGGACCACCUAACGCUGUCUCUUUGCGUCGGAGUAAUUGAUUAAAUGAAUGAAAACUUUCAACAACGGAUCUCUUGGUUCUGGCAUCGAUGAAGAACGCAGC
rnacentral:misc_RNA from 1 species